GGCCCCAUAGUCUAAUGGAUAGAACGAGCCCCUCCUAAGGGUUAAAUCCAGGUUCGAUUCCUGGUGGGGCCGCCA
rnacentral:tRNA from 2 species